AGGGGUGAAUGCAUGAUCGCUCCGGCCUCGUGCCGGGGAGGAAAGUCCGAACACCACAGGGCGCGGUGGUUCGUAACGCGAACUCCGGGCAACCGGGGGAAAGUGCCACAGAAAACACACCGCCGAUGGGGCGCGCAGGCGCCCACAGGCAAGGUUGAAAUGGCGAGGUAAGAGCUCACCGCCCCCAUGGCGACAUGGGGGGCAAGGCAAACCCCACCGGGUGCAAGACCAAAUAGGGAGGCGUUUGAGGGCGGCCCGCCUGAAGCCUCCGGGUAGGUUGCACGAGAUGCCGGGCGACCGGCAUCCCAGUUAAAUGAUCAUGGUCCGCUUUCGGGCGGAAACAGAAUUCGGCUUACAAUUCACCCCUCUUU
rnacentral:RNase_P_RNA from 2 species